AUAGCUUUAGGGCUAGCCUCAAGGUGAGAGAUACGGAGGUAGAGCACUGAAUGUCCUAGGGGGUAUUGCACCUACCGAAGACUAUCAAACUCCGAAUGCCGUCAUCUUAUACUUGGGAGUCAGACUGUGGGUGAUAAGAUUCAUAGUCGAAAGGGCAACAGCCCAGAUCGUCAGCUAAGGUCCCUAAAUGUAAGUUAAGUGGUAAAGGAUGUGGGAUUGCACAGACAACCAGGAUGUUGGCUUAGAAGCAGCCACUCAUUCAAAGAGUGCGUAAUAGCUCACUGGUCGAGUGAUCCUGCGCCGAAGAUUUCCGGGGCUAAAACUUACUACCGAAGCUACGGCAUCAGUAAUGAUGGGUAGGGGAGCUUCCCAUACGGGUGGAAGCAUGACCGUAAGGACAUGUGGACAGUAUGGGAGGGAGAAUGUUGGCAU
rnacentral:rRNA from 1 species